CCUACGGGAGGCAGCAGUAAGGAAUAUUGGUCAAUGGGCGCAAGCCUGAACCAGCCAUGCCGCGUGCAGGAAGACGGCCCUAUGGGUUGUAAACUGCUUUUGAACAAGAGAAAACCUCGGUACGUGUACCGAGCUGAUAGUAUUGUUAGAAUAAGCAUCGGCUAACUUCGUGCCAGCAGCCGCGGUAAGACGAAGGAUGCAAGCGUUAUCCGGAUUCAUUGGGUUUAAAGGGUGCGUAGGCGGCCUGAUAAGUCAGUGGUGAAAUCUCUCAGCUUAACUGAGAAACUGCCAUUGAUACUGUCGGGCUUGAGUACAGAUGAUGUGGGCGGAAUAUGACAUGUAGUGGUGAAAUACUUAGAUAUGUCAUAGAACACCGAUUGCGAAGGCAGCUCACAAAACUGUAACUGACGCUGAGGCACGAAAGUGCGGGGGAUCAAACAGGAUUAGAUACCCUGGUAGUCCGCACCGUAAACGAUGAUUACUCGUUGUUGGCAAUAUGACCGUCAGCGACCGAACGACGAGGACGAGUAAGUAAGUACCACCGUCGGGAGGACGGCCGGCGACGGUAGAACGACGAAGAAGUAGACGGACGAGAGACGNGCGACGGACGACGACGAGGGGAGGUUAGG
rnacentral:rRNA from 1 species